rnacentral:rRNA from 1 species
CAGUGCCGGAAGGUUAAAAAAACUUGUUAGUGUAUGCAAAGCUUGUAAUUGAAGCCCCGGUGAACAGCGGCCGUAACUAUAACGGUCCUAAGGUAGCGAAAUUCCUUGUCAGGUAAGUUCUGACCCGCACGAAAGGCGUAACGAUCUAGAUACUGUCUCAGAAAGAGGCUCGGUGAAAUAGAAUUGACUGUGAAGAUGCGGUCUACUUACACUUGGACAGAAAGACCCUAUGAAGCUUUACUGUAGGUUGAUAUUGUUUUUGGUUUUUCUUUGCGCAGUAAUAGGUGGGAGGCAUUGAACUUAUUUUUCGGAAUUUAGUGAGCCAUAAUUUGAGAUACCACUCUUAGAAAAUUUGAAAUCUAAAGGCGUAAAUAAACGCUUGAAAGUGUCAGUUGGGCAGUUUUACUGGGGCGGUAGCCUCCUAAAGAGUAACGGAGGCGUACAAAGGUUUUUUCAAUUUAGAUGGAAAUUAUAUGUAGAGUGUAAAGAUAUAAAAAAGCUUGAUUGUGAGACUUAUAAGUCGAGCAAGGACGAAAGUCGGUCUUAGUGAUCCAACAAUGCUGAGUGGAAAGGUUGUUGCACGCAGAUAAAAGUUACUCUAGGGAUAACAGGCUGAUCUCCCCCGAGAGUUCACAUCGACGGGGAGGUUUGGCACCUCGAUGUCGGCUCAUCGCAACCUGGGGCAGUAGUAUGUCCCAAGGGUUGGGCUGUUCGCCCAUUAAAGCGGUACGUGAGUUGGGUUCAGAACGUCGAGAGACAGUUCGGUCCAUAUCCGGUGUAAGCGUUAGAGUAUUGAAACGAUAAGCUUCAUUGUCGAGAGGACCGGGAAGGAUGCACCUCUAGUGUGCCAGUUUUUGUACCAACAGAAAAUGCUGGGUAGCUACGUGUGGAGUGGAUAACUGCUGAAAGCAUAACGCAACCCUUUAAAAAGUGCGUAAUAGCUUACUGGUCAAGUGAUUUUGCGCCGAAAAUGAAUGGGACUAAGUAAAUUGCCGAAGCUAUAGAAUAUUUAUUAUUGGUAGAAGAGCGUUUUGUAUUAGGUAGAAGUAAGAACGUAAGUUUUUAUGGACUAACCAAAAGUGAGAAUGUCGGCUUAAGUAACGAAAAUAUUGGUGGAAAUCCAAUACCCCGAAAACCUAAGGUUUCCUUUGCAAGGUUCGUCCACAAAGGGUUAGUCAGAUCCUAAGAUAAUAUUGAGCAAUGUAGUUGAUGGGAAACAGGUUAAUAUUCCUGUACUUUUAUUUGUUUAAUUAAGAAUGACGGAGAAGGUUAUGUUAUCCAAAUUUUGGUUUUUUGGUCUAAUUGUUUGAGGUUUUGAGAAAUGUUAAAAAAAAUGUUUUGAGCUGAAAAUAAAAGUGCGAUGCAGAUUACGAUCUGUUAAGUAAUUUAUACCAUGCUUCCAAGAAAAGUUCUUGUAAUGUGUAACAAAAAAAUCUGUACCGUAAACUGACACAGGUGGGUUAGUUGAGAAUACUAAGGGGAUCGAGAUAACUCUUUCUAAGGAACUCGGCAAAAUGGCUCUGUAACUUCGGAAUAAAGAGUGCCCCUAAUUAAAGGGUCGCAGUGAUUAGAUCUAGACGACUGUUUACCAAAGUACGACCUGCUAAGGGUCAAGUUAUAUUAAAUCAAACGGCUAUUCUGAAAGCCAAAACCACAUAAGAGACUGUCCAUGCUCUGAAUAAGUUGCAGAAGGGUCCCUGGUUAUAUAGGGAUGGUAACCUUAUAUGGCAAGUCAGGAUGAAACGAGCAGCAAACCUUACUUCUAAAGGUCCAGAGCAGGAGGUAAAAUUAAUUCGCAAUAAACUUAAAAUACUAGUUAUAUUUUAAGAUCAGAAGGUUAGAACCAACGAAUCCAUUAAUUGAUAGUUAAAGUCUCGUUAGACAGUAGUCGCGUGGUAAUUAGAAGAGAACACACCGCGGCAUCACAAAAUAUAGGAUAAAAUGCAAAUAUAAAAAAGCAUGAAUGUGUUACCAAAAUCCUGUAGAUUGACUGCAGGUUCAGAAAGGGCAAAACACACGGGAAAUAAUGGAGACCAUACGAAUUACAGAUAACUUGAUCAACAGGGCAACCUCAUGAGCCGCGAAAGCUACGCGAGCCAGCUACAUGCUCAUGGGAGAGAGGAUGGGGGAAAAAGCAACAACCCAAAUCUGAAUUAACAGAUAUUGACUAAAAAGGUAAUAGGAAUAACAUCCUGGGGACGCAGACUUCACCCGCUGGCAAAAUACCGAUAUGCAAAUCAAAUCCUUUUCUAUAAGGCGAUUAUCAUUCCCAAGGACAAGGGAAGUAAAUAUAAUAGCCAUCGCCAGUGGAUUAUCACUUGGGCACUCAUAUAGAAUGGGUGUAGUUAAUUUAAGAAAUUUUAUGAUAAAAUUACCCAAGUUACAAAUAACUAACUUUAAUGAAUUAGUUGAGAUAAGACUCAACUUUUCACAUGAAGAUCCUACCUUCCCAAUAUGAAAGUCCACCAAAUCCCUGAAUAGAUGAUUUGGAGACUUUAUAUCCACCUUUGAAAAAGGAAUGAUGAUUUAAUCUAUUCAUCUUCCUGAAGUAAAAUUUUAACAAGGUUCCCAAAUAAAAGUCCCAAAAACAACAAUGGGGCCUUUU